rnacentral:sRNA from 1 species
GCCAGGUGCAGUGGCGCACGCCUGUCAUCCCAGUGACUUGGGAGGCUGAGGCAGGAGGCUGGUUAUGGGGGAGGAUUGAGAGUUCAAAGCCAGCCUCAGCAACUCAGCAACCCUGCAAACCUGUCUCUA